AGAAGAGAAGAGAAGAGAAGAGAAAAGAAAAGAAAAGAAAAGAAAAGAAAAGGUCUAGCUAUCUCCAUGAGGUUAAAGAGAGGUCCCUCUGUGGCUCUCUCGUCUCCCAGGGAGAGGGUAACCCUUCGCCAAGUCACCGGCCUGAACUUUUUCUUCAUCGUCUUCCCUACGAACAUCACCCACUGUUACUCAGAGCCAAGUUAGGGAACAGAGGGUAACGGGGCUAACCUCAUGACACCUUAACCCUGGGCUGAAGUCAGGGAGAAGCUAAAGAGAGAAUCGGGUUGGAAAUAGGAAGACGACUUAGCCAGCAGUCAUGGCCUGACAGCGAACCCUGACGUUUGAAGCCUGGGACUAGAGGAGAAAGACUCCAGGCCAGAAACCUUGAGUUCCUGUGCAACCUUUACCAUUUUCCAGAACAAUCUCUGCCUCUCAUCUGUAAAAGGGGUUCAGUGACCUCCAUCGCCCACACUUCUUCCAGGCUGACCAUGCAGAUUAAAUGAGGUAACCGAAGGGAAGGCACCGGACCCUUCCAUAACUGUCAUGUAGUCCUGGGUUUUCUCUAGGCCUCAGUUUCCCCCUCUGUUAACUGAGAACAAUCUCUGAUGUCUCAAUCUGGGCAUUUGUCAGGUUUAAAUUAUAUUCAGACUGUGAGAGCUGUUUAGAAGAAUCACAGACCCCAGUGUAUGCACAAAGAGCUAUUUUUAUUUUUACAAGAAAACUCUGGGGGCAACUGGGUAGCUCAGUCUGUUGAGCGU